AGCCCCCGGCUUUCCCAGGCUCCCGGUGCGGUGAAUGCCUCUUUCACCAGCAGUUCCCCACUUCCCCAAAAAGCAUCACCUUGCCAGCUCCCUUCCUCCCACCAGCUGCCAGGAAAAAAAAUUAGGGCAAGGACAGGGAGUGAGAGCAAAACCAAUGAACUUGUUUCCAGCUUUUCCUUCGGAUCAGCCGUCCAGCACCGGGAGAAAAACAUUUCUCCUGUAAAAAAACUCCCCUCUCUGUGCAGGCUCCGAUCCCGUCGUCACUGGGACACUGGCUGGAGACUUGGUCUCAGCUCGGCAGCAGAAGACACCGUAUCACCAUGAGUUCAUGGAGCCAUGAGGAUGGCCUGAGCCCCACGGGGACACCCUGGGCCCUGUGGGGACCUGCCACCUGCCUUCCAGUGGAACUGUACAGGAGCUGUCACAGCUCUGUGUUAGCAGCGUGGUGCAGAUGGAGAUGCUGAGCCACAGCACGGAGCUGGGUGGGAGCACACAGCAGGUGUCCUGACAGGUGUUCUGGACUGUUCACUUCCCGACCCCUCUGCUGCACCCUGAUGGAGCCCGCCAGAGCAGCCACCUGGGGCACCCCUCACCCUGACACGGGUGGGCACAGGUUUGGCCACGUGUGGCAUCCACGAGUCCCUCACCAGAGCUCCGGUGCCACCACAGUGAGAGGUGCCCGGCAUUACUGGUGGGGAGCACGGAGUCCCUGCUCUGCAGGACGUGACCAACUCCAGGCCUGCGCUUGCUCUGGGAGCUGACGGCUGUAUUUAUGGAUUGGGUGGAAAUCCAGAAGGCUUCGUCAAACGUCCCACGGGCCCCGGGCCUGCCCCUGCCCGCGGCUCGGACACGUCACAGACACGCCUGUGGGCCUGCGAAUGGUCAGCCAUGGAGGACAGCCCGGGGGGGACACGGCUCAGUGGGGUGGGCUGCCUUGGUGAGGACGACAGCCAUGAGCCCCGUUCAGCCACCACUCGCCAUACAAGUCCCCUCAGCCACAAGCCUCUCUCUGGUCACGAUCCCCUUGUCCAUGAGCCCCCUGGCGAUAAUGCCCCUGGCAACCAGUGCCCUUGGCCAUAUUGCCCCAAACCAUAAGCGCCCCCCAUCCCAUUGCCCACCCACCCACGCCGUGCAGGCACCGUGGGGACCCCACCGCGAGGUGGCCAGGGGCACGUGGGGAUGCCCUGGAGCAUCCUC